AGUGACCUGGUGUUACUCUGUAUGAGCAGAUGCCUGAGGCCUUCUGAUGAGAUGCCUCAGUUAAAAACACUGGAUUUGCAUUCCUGUAUUUCCUAUUUCUGUCAUACAUAAAACCUGAAGCACCCGAAGUCCAACACAGGAAGCAUUCUAUACAACACAGCCUUUUGGAGGUCUUGCUGGUACUUACAGAAGGACAGGAGGAAGUUUCAAGUCGGGAGAGGGCAUUUCCCAGCUGACCUACCAACACAGGAAUGUAGACAAAAGUCCAUGGAGAUUUUGAAAGUAUUGACUUCAGCAGGUAUUUUGAAUCCAAA
rnacentral:lncRNA from 1 species